UACGUAGGUGGCAAGCGUUGUCCGGAUUUACUGGGCGUAAAGAGCGCGCAGGCGGUCGUUCAAGUCGCGUGUGAAAGCCCCCCGGCUCAACUGGGGAGGGUCACGCGAUACUGAUCGACUCGAAGGCAGGAGAGGGUAGUGGAAUUCCCGGUGUAGUGGUGAAAUGCGUAGAUAUCGGGAGGAACGACCAGUGGCGAAGGCGACUACCUGGCCUGGUUCUUGACGCUGAGGCGCGAAAGCUAGGGGAGCAAACGGGG
rnacentral:rRNA from 1 species